CCUACGGGAGGCAGCAGUGGGGAAUAUUGGACAAUGGGGGCAACCCUGAUCCAGCCAUGCCGCGUGUGUGAAGAAGGCCCUCGGGUUGUAAAGCACUUUCAGUGAGGAAGAACGCCUGGUGGUUAAUACCCAUCAGGAAAGACAUCACUCACAGAAGAAGCACCGGCUAACUCCGUGCCAGCAGCCGCGGUAAUACGGAGGGUGCGAGCGUUAAUCGGAAUUACUGGGCGUAAAGCGCGCGUAGGUGGCUUGAUAAGCCGGUUGUGAAAGCCCCGGGCUCAACCUGGGAACGGCAUCCGGAACUGUGAAGCUAGAGUGCAGGAGAGGAAGGUAGAAUUCCCGGUGUAGCGGUGAAAUGCGUAGAGAUCGGGAGGAAUACCAGUGGCGAAGGCGGCCUUCUGGACUGACACUGACACUGAGGUGCGAAAGCGUGGGUAGCAAACAGGAUUAGAUACCCGAGUAGUC
rnacentral:rRNA from 1 species